CCUACGGGUGGCAGCAGUGGGGAAUAUUGCACAAUGGGGGGAACCCUGAUGCAGCGACGCCGCGUGAGUGAAGAAGUAUUUCGGUAUGUAAAGCUCUAUCAGCAGGGAAGAAGAUGACGGUACCUGACUAAGAAGCCCCGGCUAACUACGUGCCAGCAGCCGCGGUACUACGUAGGGGGCAAGCGUUAUCCGGAUUUACUGGGUGUAAGGGGAGCGUAGACGGCAGGGCAAGUCGGGAGGGAAAGCCCGGGGCCCAACCCCGAGACUGCUUUGGAAACUGCCAUGCUAGAGUGCUGGAGAGGUAAGCGGAAUUCCUAGUGUAGCGGUGAAAUGCGUAGAUAUUAGGAGGAACACCAGUGGCGAAGGCGGCUUACUGGACAGUAACUGACGUUGAGGCUCGAAAGCGUGGGGAGCAAACAGGAUUAGAUACCCUUGUAGUC
rnacentral:rRNA from 1 species